UACGUAGGGUGCGAGCGUUGUCCGGAAUUACUGGGCGUAAAGAGCUCGUAGGUGGUUUGUCGCGUUGUUCGUGAAAACCGGGGGCUUAACCCUCGGCGUGCGGGCGAUACGGGCAGACUUGAGUACUGCAGGGGAGACUGGAAUUCCUGGUGUAGCGGUUAAAUGCGCAGAUAUCAGGAGGAACACCGGUGGCGAAGGCGGGUCUCUGGACCGAUACCGACGCUGAGGAGCGAAAGCGUGGGGAGCGAACAGG
rnacentral:rRNA from 1 species